UAAUAAGUAUUUUAUGGCACUUUUUAAAUCCAUAUCCACCUUGUGUGCAAUGUCAGUCGAUCUUCUUCAUGGAGAUCGACCAAACAUCAACCUUUAUCUUUUAACUCUUUGUCUGAAAAAUAUUAUGAAUAAACAAUUCAAAAUA
rnacentral:misc_RNA from 1 species